rnacentral:lncRNA from 1 species
UGUGGACUUUAGUGGGUCAUACACAAGAGAAUAUGUUCCCUUCCUUUACUAAAUGGAACCAUAUAUCUUAAGUUCAGAGCACUUAUGCAUAUUGAUUAACUAUUAUGAUAGAUUAUGAUGUGGGAACUGCAUUGGGCUUCAGAUAUUUCAGAUUUGUUGAUUAUUAUGCCUUUAUAUUUUGAAACUACUGUUUUUUCUACUUCAACAUCAUUGCUGUAUGGUCAAC